rnacentral:rRNA from 1 species
UUCCAGACUCCUACGGGAGGCAGCAGUGAGGAAUAUUGGUCAAUGGGCGGGAGCCUGAACCAGCCAAGUCGCGUGGGGGAUGACGGCCCUAUGGGUUGUAAACCUCUUUUGCCGGGGAGCAAAGUGCCGCACGUGUGCGGUUUGGAGAGUACCCGGAGAAAAAGCAUCGGCUAACUCCGUGCCAGCAGCCGCGGUAAUACGGAGGAUGCGAGCGUUAUCCGGAUUUAUUGGGUUUAAAGGGUGCGUAGGCGGAACAUUAAGUCAGCGGUAAAAUCGAGGGGCUCAACCCCUUUAAGCCGUUGAAACUGGUGAUCUUGAGUGGGCGAGAAGUAUGCGGAAUGCGUGGUGUAGCGGUGAAAUGCAUAGAUAUCACGCAGAACUCCGAUUGCGAAGGCAGCAUACCGGCGCCCGACUGACGCUGAGGCACGGAAGCGUGGGGAUCGAACAGGAUUAGAUACCCCCGUAAUG